rnacentral:rRNA from 1 species
GGUUGACCUCGGAUCAGGUAGGGAUACCCGCUGAACUUAAGCAUAUCAAUAAGCGGAGGAAAAGAAACCAACAGGGAUUGCCUCAGUAACGGCGAGUGAAGCGGCAACAGCUCAAAUUUGAAAUCUGGCUCCUUGGGGGGUCCGAGUUGUAAUUUGUAGAGGAUGCUUCGGGCAAGGCUGCGGUCUAAUUUGCUUGGAACAGCGAGUCACAGAGGGUGAGAGUCCCGUCUAGGACCGUGCGCCGCGUCCAGGUGAAGCUCCUUCGACGAGUCGAGUUGUUUGGGAUGCAGCUCUAAAUGGGUGGUAA